GAUGAACGCUGGCGGCGUGCCUAAUACAUGCAAGUCGAGCGAACAGACGAGGAGCUUGCUCCUCUGACGUUAGCGGCGGACGGGUGAGUAACACGUGGAUAACCUACCUAUAAGACUGGGAUAACUUCGGGAAACCGGAGCUAAUACCGGAUAAUAUAUUGAACCGCAUGGUUCAAUAGUGAAAGACGGUUUUGCUGUCACUUAUAGAUGGAUCCGCGCCGCAUUAGCUAGUUGGUAAGGUAACGGCUUACCAAGGCAACGAUGCGUAGCCGACCUGAGAGGGGGAUCGGCCACACUGGAACAGAGACACGGGCCAGACUCCUACGGGAGGCAGCAGUAGGGAAUCUUCCGCAAUGGGCGAAAGCCUGACGGAGCAACGCCGCGUGAGUGAUGAAGGUCUUCGGAUCGGAAAACUCUGUUAUUAGGGAAGAACAAAUGUGUAAGUAACUAUGCACGUCUUGACGGUACCUAAUCAGAAAGCCACGGCUAACUACG
rnacentral:rRNA from 1 species